rnacentral:snRNA from 1 species
AGCUUUGCGCAGUGGCAGUAUUGUAGCCGAUGAGGUUUAUCCAAGGCGCGAUUACUGCUAAUUGAAAACUCACGCCG